rnacentral:ribozyme from 1 species
UUCAAUUUAUUUUCUUCUAAAAUGCAUUGUUGCAAUUGUUCAGAUUAUUUUAUACAACAAUCAACAGCUAUACCUACGUACGCAUAUCUGGGCUUGGGUAUACGGGGAAACCCAACCCCUUGGGAGGAUGGAAGACAUGGCUAAUUUGAGAGGA